rnacentral:rRNA from 1 species
AGCAGCCGCGGUAAUUCCAGCUCCAAUAGCGUAUAUUAAAGUUGUUGCAGUUAAAAAGCUCGUAGUUGAAUUUCGGGGUUAGUAGGCUGGUCGUGCCACUGGUAUGUACUGGUCUUACUGAUUCCUCCUUCCUGAUGAGCUGUAAUGCCAUUAAUUUGGUGUUGCAGGGAAUCUGGACUGUUACUUUGAAAAAAUUAGAGUGUUUAAAGCAGGCUAACGCUUGAAUACAUUAGCAUGGAAUAAUGAAAUAGGACGUUCGAUCCUAUUUUGUUGGUUUCUAGGAUUGACGUAAUGAUUAAUAGGGAUAGUUGGGGGCAUUAGUAUUCAAUUGUCAGAGGUGAAAUUCUUGGAUUUAUUGAAGACUAACUACUGCGAAAGCAUUUGCCAAGGAUGUUUUCAUUAAUCAAGAACGAAAGUUAGGGGAUCGAAGACGAUCAGAUACCGUCGUAGUCUUAACCAUAAACUAUGCCGACUAGGGAUCGGAUGAUGUUAAUUUUUAAUGACUCAUUC